rnacentral:rRNA from 1 species
UACAUGUGGGGCAAGCGUUGUUCGGAUUUACUGGGCGUAAAGGGCGCGUAGGCGGCGUGACAAGUCACUUGUGAAAUCUCCGGGCUUAACUCGGAGCGGUCAAGUGAUACUGUCGUGCUAGAGUGCGGAAGGGGCUACUGGAAUUCUCGGUGUAGCGGUGAAAUGCGUAGAUAUCGAGAGGAACACCUGCGGCGAAGGCGGGUAGCUGGGCCGACACUGACGCUGAUGCGCGAAAGCCAGGGGAGCGAACGGG